rnacentral:rRNA from 1 species
UACGGAGGGUGCGAGCGUUAAUCGGUAUUACUGGGCGUAAAGCGCACGCAGGCGGUUUGUUAAGCUAGAUGUGAAAGCCCCGGGCUCAACCUGGGAUGGUCAUUUAGAACUGGCAGACUAGAGUCUUGGAGAGGGGAGUGGAAUUCCAGGUGUAGCGGUGAAAUGCGUAGAUAUCUGGAGGAACAUCAGUGGCGAAGGCGACUCCCUGGCCAAAGACUGACGCUCAUGUGCGAAAGUGUGGGUAGCGAACAGG